rnacentral:rRNA from 1 species
AUUGAACGCUGGCGGCAGGCCUAACACAUGCAAGUCGAGCGAGCGGCGGACGGGUGAGUAAUGUCUGGGAAACUGCCUGAUGGAGGGGGAUAACUACUGGAAACGGUAGCUAAUACCGCAUACCAUCAGAUGUGCCCAGAUGGGUUUAGCUAGUAGGUGGGGUAAUGGCUCACCUAGGCGACGAUCCCUAGCUGGUCUGAGAGGAUGACCAGCAACACUGGAACUGAGAGACGUUCAAGACGCCUACGGGAGGUAGCGGUGGGGAAUAUGGGAAAAUGGGCGCAAGCGGGAUGCAGCCAUGCCGCGUGUGUGAAGAAGGCCUUAUGGGUGUAAAGCACGUUAAGCGAGGAGGCGUUACUCGCAGAAUAAGCACCGGCUAACUCUGUGCCAGCAGCCGCGGUAAUUC